AUUAGCUCAGUCGGUAGAGCACCUGACUUUUAAUCAGGGAGUCCCGGGUUCGAGUCCCGG
rnacentral:tRNA from 1 species